AUCUUUGCGCUUGAGGCAAUGACGCAGUUAGUGAGGUGAAACCGAGACGCGUCAAUUGCUAGUUGAAAAUUAUUUCCAUUUCUGUUUUCUCUCUGUUGAAUGAAACAGUCCAAGUUUACUUCAUGAUGU
rnacentral:snRNA from 1 species